AUGGCCUCUCUCAGUGAUCAGCUGGAGGAGCUGAGGGUGAAUGUGGAAGUCAGCUUGUCUACUCCAGGUUCUGCCCAGGAGAUGAGGGCAGGGGUGACAGCCAUGGCCAACAUCCCCCUCCCACCCUCCAGCAAAUACCGCUACAUCGCUGCUGAAAGCAUGUUGACGGAGAACAGUAAUGGAAAUAAUAAGAAGGAGUCCCUCAGCCUCCUGCAGAAGCUUUCCACCGCUCUUAACAUCUUGGAGAAGUAUGGCUCCAAUCUUACCAACCCCAACAGGCCGAAGUACUGGCGUACAGUAAAGUACAACAAUCCUGUCUUCAGGACAACUGUAGAUUCUAUUCAGGGUGGCAGAGCAGUACUCAACCUUUAUGGCUACACCGAUCAGCAGCAAGAUGGCUUGAGCUUUCCUGAUGAUGUUGUCCAGCCAGAUGUUGGGAAGGUGGCAUCAGUGACUCUUGAGGUCAUGUGUCUCCGUAUGGAGCUGGACAUGCUAAUCAAGGGUACCCAUCCUUAUCCAGAGUUUUUUGAAAGACUUAUUCCCUCCCUCAGAGUGCUGGAUGAGGGAAUCAGCACAGAUGCAGUUACCUUCUCUCCUAGUGAAAGUCCAUGGGAAAAACAAACUCCCUCGCCUGCAUUGACUCCUCUUGAGCCUAAAUCUCCAUUCAGUCCAGCCCACUCUCUCUCUUCUCAAGUGCCCUCUAAUCAAACAGAGAUCUGCACCAUAUGUGGUAUAUUUCCGGUGUCUGCUCACUGUCCCACCUGUACUCAGCGGCUGUGCUUAGAAUGUGACAGGCUUUAUCACUCCCAUUCAGGGCGUUCCACGCACAUUAGGAUUCCUGUGACUUCCUCAAAAGCCACAAAACGGCUCAGCUCAUCGCUGUCAACAUGGCAGUGUUCAUACUGCACUACAGUAAAUACGGUUCAACAGGUUUUGUGUGAAACCUGUGAUCGACCCCGCUUGUCCUCUGCUGCGCCAUCUCUACAGGAAGAGCCAUCUCAGCCCUCUACAAUAUCUGAAUGGCAAUGUAAAAGCUGCACUGUGGUGAAUGCAGGCAGCAGCAUUCUGUGCGAGGUGUGUGAGCGCCCUCGUCUUGCCACCAGACCCCCUGUCACACCCUCACGUCCGACCCCCUCCUCUGCAGGACUCAUGGACAGCCAGUGGGUUUGCCAGUUUUGUACGUAUGUCAACCACACACUAUCACCUGUAUGCGAAAUGUGUUGUCUGUCGAGGUCAGAGCCUGCUCUGUCACUCCCUAAGCCCCUCCCACUCUCACCAGUCAAGGACAUCACACCGCUUCCAGCGCCACCUAAAGUCAUUCCCACUGAGGACCCUGAUUUCAAAAGGCAAAGACUGAUGAGGGAGGAAGGGCUUAAACUUAUUCAGAUCAUUCGUGAGGGAGAGAAGAAAGGAGUGAGCCCAGAGGAGGUUUACACCAGCAUGUGUGUGUCAGGAAACAGUAAUGUAACACCGUAUGAUUGGCUGAAAGCCGAGCUACCUCAUGUGCUUGAUGAGAUCUGUGUGAUGGCGGCAUCCUGUCAGCAAGAACCCAACACACAAUCAAACUGUUUAGGGGGGGACAAUGGCCAGGAUGGACAAAAGAGCAAUGCAGUGCCCCUGUCCAGAGCAGAAGCUAAACGGGCCUGGCUGGCAGCAGGGGGCGACAAUGAGAAGGCUGUCAGACAGGCUCUCAGAGCCCGAAGAGUUAAAGUAAAAGAGCUUGGCUCUCUGGGCUUUAAUGAUGUGACCCGCUGUGAAGAAGCCCUGCGGCAGAGUGGAGGGGAUGUGAGGGGGGCUCUUGCUCUGCUGCAGCGCCCUUUACUGGAGCCAUUUCAUCAGCGCAUGUGGAGUGACGAACCAGAGCCCCCCAUUGACAUCAACCAUCCUGAUAAACAGCAUGUUUGCCGUAGGCUGCUAGCAAUGUUUGACCUGCCCAGCUGGGGGCGCUGUGAGCUGGUUCUGUCUUUGCUGCGGGACCCCACAGCCACAUACACACUGGAGGAUGUGGUUCAGGCAGUGCGUGAAUCACCUGACCGGGACUUCAUUCGCCGUGUGCUGAAUAAGGAAUGCCCCAUCUGUCUGUCAGUUUUUCCCCACAGCAAGAUGCGGUCUCUGACAUCGUGCCAGUGUUCCGUGUGCUGUGGAUGUUUCAAGCAGCAUUUCACCAUAGCGGUGAGGGACAAGCACAUCAGAGACAUGGUGUGUCCUGUCUGCACAGAGCCUGACAUCAACAACCCUGAGCACCUGAAUAGCUACUUCUCCACUCUGGACAUACAGCUCAGGGAUUGUCUUGAGCCGGAUGUGUACGAUCUUUUCCACAAGAAGCUGACUGAGCAGGCUCUCAUCAAGGACCCAAAGUUCCUGUGGUGCAGCCAUUGCUCAUAUGGCUUCAUCUAUGACGGCGAUCAACUCAAGGUCACCUGUAUGCAGUGCAGGAAAAGCUUCUGUGCGCAGUGCAAAAAACCGUGGGAGCCGCAGCACAUGGGGCUCUCGUGCGAGCAGUUCCAGCUGUGGAAGCGAGAGAAUGACCCCGAGUACCAGAGGCAGGGCUUGGCAGGAUACCUGCGUGACAAUGGGAUCACUUGCCCUAACUGCAGGUUCCAGUAUGCCCUGGCCAGGGGUGGAUGUAUGCACUUCAGUUGUUCCCAGUGCAGGUAUCAGUUCUGCAGUGGAUGCAACAACCCCUUCCACACAACGUGUGCAGUGAACCAGUGUACUGUGACAGGUCUGCAUGCCCAUCACCCCAGAGACUGCCUCUUCUACCUCCGAGACUGGGAGCCUGCCAGGCUUCAGGCCUUACUGCAGAAAAAGGGGGUGAACUACAAUACUGACACUGCACCAGGAGCACAGACUGGUGUGUGUGGAGUGAUCGAGCAGAAAGAUGAAGGGCCUCGUCCGACUGAUUCGCCGUGUGGGGCUCAAACUCAGCCAGCCCAGGCAGGACUCUGCGAGAAGCAUUAUCGAGAGUAUCUGGUCAGCCUCAUUAAUGGGCAUUCUAUUGACCCCGCCCACCUUUACACUCUUGAUGAGCUGACUGUGGCCUGCAGGAGAUACCACGUGGAUGUCAGACAGGGGGACGGAGAAGACGAGAGAGCAUACUUUGCCAGACUGCUUAAGAAACUCAUGGAUGACGUGCCUCUGGGUGACAAGGUCCUUCGCAAGAAAUGAAAACAUUUUUUUACCAUGAACAUUUAACCUCUGGACUAUUUUAAAUAUAGCUUCUUUAUGCUAUGAGCUACAAGGCCGAAGGAAUGUUAAACACAGUGCUUCCCUGCUCUCAGUGUGAUGUAGUUUCACACAUUUGCACAGUGAACACACUGAAAGCACGGACAUAAUAAGGAAUGCAUGAUGGGAAAUGGUGAUAGAAGAAACCCCAUGAGGAGCAGAGGACAGACAUGUUCUGAGGUAAUUGUCUGUGUGAGGGCACAGCAGUGAAAGAGAUCCUAUUGCUUACAAAGAAGCCUUUAUGUUUAAAUUUGUAAUCACUUUUACAAUAAGGUCCAAUUAGCUAUGCCUAAUGUUAGUUUGUGUUAACGGGCAUGGUUAACAAAUGGAACCUUAUUGUAAAGUGUAUUUUCCUUCUUUUUAGCAAAUUAGCUUGGGAACCAAAGCAGGGUUAAAGGUUAAAAUGCACCAAUAGAUGUAAUCAGUUACAAUGCAAAUAGUUUUACAUCAUGCUGUCUGUGACUGAGGCAAUAGUUCAGUCAUUUUACCCUGAAUAAGCACACUUUUAGUGACUUUCUCCAUGACUACCACAGUUGUGGCAAGCUGUGAUGUGACGUCUAACUUGUUUUGACAGAUGGCCUGUCUGGUGUGGGGACCUGUGUCUUGGGGGCUUUGGGGAUAGAUGAGGUUCUGGUCUGUAGCAGAGGAGGGAGAAGAAAGAAAAAGACAGAUAUCCUGCCUAGCCCAGCUGGGUCUGUGAUUCUGCUUAAAAGUUUCCACAUCUUUGACACCCCGAGCCACCACUCGAAAUGGAGCUAUUGUAUUGUUUAGUCACAAGAUAUCUUUAUAAUGAGCUUAUGUCUGUGCAAUUUCAUUUUCUAAUUGAUUUGCAUAUUUCAAUGUUUACAUUCUUAAUGCUCGAUUCAUUGGUGCAUGUUGUUUCAAAAAUGCUUCAACUCUAUUGGAUAAAAUAAAGCUCUGUCCAAUACUCAGUAUCUAGUUUUAUUU